GCCUUUCUGGUUCUUUUAUAAGCUGUUUUGCCAUACCAUUUACAUUUUGAAGAAACAGUGUCUCAGUUUCUUCAGUGCAAAUAGAUUACGAAGGCUCAGUUGUCACCUGCAGCCAACCUUUGCAUGUACUUGCCUGAUCUUACUCCUUCUGCUCAGUCACUAGAGCCAUCUCUGGGAUGUUCCACCUUGCAGCCAACUUUGGCAGAAAAUAAAAAUUAAGAGUACCAGGACACAGCUGUGCCCUCACCAUGGCUUACAGGCAGUUCAGGUGACCUGCAAGGGAAAGAACUUCCUGAGAGCUCUGUGGCCCUGCUGUGCUGCCAACAUCAGUUGCCACUGUCAGAGUUCUGGCUCAAGGCUCAAAUACAGGACUUUGUUUUAAGAGGAGCUGGGAAGACUGUGCGAAAUACCCAGUAGCAGCCAUAGUGCACAGGAGGGAGGCAUCUCCCUCUCCCAAGAGGAGACCUAGGUCCUUUGACUUCAUUCCUGGUUUUGACAAGUGAGCAAAUCCCAAGUACACUUAAAAAAAAAAUUCCUUAGUUUUAGGAUAUAUUAUCCAUGCUUUUUUGGUAUACAUACAUACUUUUUCAACUAUUUUAAAAACCCUCUGCUAAUUUUGUAGAUAGAUUUUUAUCUGUGUGAAACAACUAGACUUUCAUGGAUUCAUAUGCAACUGUUGCUACCCUUGUUGCUGGUGCCUCGAAGCACCAAGUUCAGUGAGAGCAAGCUUCCCUCACAUGAUUCAUUCUACUAAUGAUCUUCAGCAAUUGAAAUUGUGGUUUGAAUUAAGAAUCUUCCUGCAAAUCAGCUUUUCUUACCAAAA